UACGUAGGGGCCAAGCGUUGUCCGGAUUUAUUGGGCGUAAAGAGCUCGUAGGCGGUUCGGCAAGUCAGCUGUGAAAUCUCCACGCUCAACGUGGAGGGGUCAGCUGAUACUGCUGUGACUCGAGUCCGGUAGGGGAGUGUGGAAUUCCCGGUGUAGCGGUGAAAUGCGCAGAUAUCGGGAGGAACACCAGUAGCGAAGGCGGCACUCUGGGACGGUACUGACGCUGAGACGCGAAAGCGUGGGGAGCUAACAGG
rnacentral:rRNA from 1 species